AACACAGCCAACCCCAAAAAAAACAACAGCAAACAAGUGAGCAAGCUGACAAAGCUGCAACUUCAGGGAGCAAUUAUAAGGGUCAUCAAGAUGGAGCCAGGAUUCAUGAUGCUCGUAUUAGAGGUGCUGGACCAGAGUCUGAGGAAGGGAGUAGAACUCCAAGCUGGUUUGAGUGUGCUUCAACUGCCGGGACAUUUCAAUGCAGAGUUAAAAAGUUUGUUGUCGCCGGGAGGCCAGUCUUUCUCAAACUGCUGACUCUGACCUCCUUGUUUUGAAUGAAGAAGUUCUAACCCUUGCCCAUUUGAUGAGGCAGGAUUUCUUGUGUUCAUUGAUGAGGAGGACCAGGUGCAACCCAACCGCUACUAGGCGACUUAUAUUGUGUUCUGACACAGAGUUAUUUUUGGGCUGGUGACAAGAGGGCUAUUCCCUUAUGUUGUGUGGAGAGUCCAGGAAACCUUCCCGAUUCCCUAAGAACAAUACACUGGCCUUGUGCAAAGGAGGGUUCAGUAGAUGAUCACAAUUUUUGCAGACGGAUCGUAUCUGUUCUCUUGAUUUUCUUAAAUAUUAAAAUAUGAUAUAAACAAUAUCAGGUCAUUUUUGUAUACUUUUGUGAAUGACUUGUUAUUUUAUAAAUACUGAUUUGUACUGUCUUUGGUUGCUAAACUGUCAUUAAGUAAUUAUCUCGUUUCAAUUUGAAAGCCAGAAAACCUGCAUGUUAUGUAUACUCAUGUUAUUGUUUAUAUUUAUGCCCCCUCCGAGGAAGAGGGGUAUAUUGCAUUGCACAUGUUGGUCGGACGAUUCGCAGCUUUGUUGGUAGACCAAAGCUUGUCUAAGUGAUAACUCAACAACUGAAGGACAGAUGGUUAUCAAACUUGACAUGAAUGUUGGGCCUGACCAGUAGAUAACCCUAUUGAUUUAAGGGGUCAUCAGGUCCAAGUUCAAGAUCACAGUGGUAAUGGUAUAAAGUUGUUAAAGCUUGUCCGAGAAAUAACUAAAAAAUACCUGAACGUACGGUAUGGUUAUCAAAUUUGACAUGGAGGCUGGGCCUGAUUAGUAGAUGACCCCUAUUGAUUUUAGG